UUAGGUACAAAAUAAAGGCGAAAAGUUUAUGUGCAAUCUUGUCGAGGAAUGUAUUCCUUCUAAUAAUGGCGUGCUCUUCCUCUUAUCUGCUGGAGCCAUUGUCACACGUGCGAGCUCUCUCUCACCUACGACAGACGUGCGGUAAAAGCGUGUCAACUCACCCGCCAAUAUUCUCUCUCCUCCCUCACAACAGUACCAUAAUAGCCAUUUCCAAUUCCACCUCCAAAUACCGAUUUAUCCACCAAGUUAUCUGCAGUCGAGCUGAGUCAACUCACUUCACAGAAUCGUCGGAGAAGAAGAAGAAAAUGGAAGAAACACCAUUCAAUCCGGACAAGCGGCGAGCCGAUUUCCUUCACCUUCUUCGCAGCCGUCGAUCUUCCGAAGUUCCUUUGACAGUGGAACUUGCAAAGCCUGUGACGAACCCAAUGUAUCAACAGAGUCCACCACCAACUUUCAGUGAGGCAAUGGAAUCAUGUCCUAAAGCAGAUAUCGAAAAUCUCGAGGAUCUACUGGUAGAAGAAAACCUUUACUUGUAUACUGAGGCCUCUGAUCAAGGACGUUUACCCGUUCUGAUUCUGAGCAUGAAGCAAAGUGGUUGUGUGUCAAAGAGACCAGCUAUAGUUUUCCUGCACAGCACGCACAAGUGCAAAGAAUGGUUACGGCCUUUGCUUGAGGCAUACGCCUCACGUGGUUAUAUUGCUGUUGCUAUUGAUUCACGUUAUCACGGCGAACGCGCAGAUAGUCUAACGACCUAUAGAGAAGCACUUGUAUCGUCAUGGAAAAAGGGUGACACUAUGCCGUUCAUAUUUGAUACGGUGUGGGAUCUGAUAAAGUUGGCUGAUUAUCUUUCUAAUCAGAGGGAUGAUAUUGAUUAUGCAAGGAUUGGAAUCACUGGCGAGUCACUUGGAGGAAUGCAUGCGUGGUUUGCGGCCUUUGCUGAUACACGCUAUGCUGUGGUUGCACCUAUCAUAGGAGUCCAGGGGUUUCGGUGGGCCAUAGAUAAUGACAAAUGGCAGGGUCGUGUAGAUAGUAUCAAGGCUGUUUUUGAAGAAGCUCGUGUUGAUUUGGGAAAAAGUGUUAUAGACAAAGAAGUUGUAGAGAAGGUUUGGGAUAGGAUUGCUCCUGGUCUAGCUUCAGAGUUCGAUGCACCUUACACAAUCCCAACAAUAGCUCCUCGUCCUAUGCUGAUUUUGAAUGUCACGACCAAGCCUCUUGUCACCACAUACUGUUCUUCAGCUCUAGUGUUAAUAUCUUCUUUGACUCGGCAAGAUAUGGUGUUCGUCUUCGUAUCUUUGACGUUUCAACUUUUCUUUGAGGUGCUGAUGAUCCUCGAUGCCCACUUGCCGGUCUAGAUACGCCUAAACUGAGAGCACAAAAGGCAUAUGAAGCAUAUCAUCAUUCUGAUAAUUUCAAGCUCCUAGCAGAACCCGGAAUAGGACACCGUAUGACACCAUACAUGGUCAAAGAAGCUAGUGAGUGGUUUGACAAAUUUCUCUAGAGCGAGCAUGGAGGGGUAUGAUGAUUCAGUUUUAUAACCUUUUCUUAAUGGUAGAGACGAGCAGCUCAGAUUUCACACUAAAUAAUUUGAAAUAAUAAGUGACACCACCUCAAAUGAUGAAGCAGCCGAAUCUGCAUCUUAAAGCUGUGUGUUUCUCAUUGAUCAAGAUUUGCUAAGGGAGCCGUAUUGUCAUUGCUGUCAAAUGUAUUAGUAUGGCCUGAAGGUUCCAUUUUCUUGGUUUUACAUCUUUUGUAUCUUCAUUGUUGUUUCCAUGUAGUUUGCAUUUGGUACACUGACAUAAAUAAUGAACUUUGUGUGUAAUCUUAAUUUCAUUAUUGAAUAAACAAGGGAAUCUGAUCUA